rnacentral:rRNA from 1 species
GGCCUAACACAUGCAAGUCGAGCGGAUGAGAAGAGCUUGCUCUUCGAUUCAGCGGCGGACGGGUGAGUAAUGCCUAGGAAUCUGCCUGGUAGUGGGGGACAACGUUUCGAAAGGAACGCUAAUACCGCAUACGUCCUACGGGAGAAAGCAGGGGACCUUCGGGCCUUGCGCUAUCAGAUGAGCCUAGGUCGGAUUAGCUAGUUGGUGAGGUAAUGGCUCACCAAGGCGACGAUCCGUAACUGGUCUGAGAGGAUGAUCAGUCACACUGGAACUGAGACACGGUCCAGACUCCUACGGGAGGCAGCAGUGGGGAAUAUUGGACAAUGGGCGAAAGCCUGAUCCAGCCAUGCCGCGUGUGUGAAGAAGGUCUUCGGAUUGUAAAGCACUUUAAGUUGGGAGGAAGGGCAGUAAGCGAAUACCUUGCUGUUUUGACGUUACCGACAGAAUAAG